rnacentral:rRNA from 1 species
CCGAACCGUAGUUAGGGUAAAUUAGGUAGUGGACGGUAACGGGUAGGAGUAAACACGUGGGGUAACCUGCCCCAAAAGAGGGGGGGGUAACACUUGGAAACAGGUGCUAAUACCGCAUAACCAUGAUGACCGCAUGGUCAUUAUGUAAAAGAUGGUUUCGGCUAUCACUUUUGGAUGGACCCGCGGCGUAUUAACUUGUUGGUGGGGUAAUGGCCUACCAAGGUGAUGAUACGUAGCCGAACUGAGAGGUUGAUCGGCCACAUUGGGACUGAGACACGGCCCAAACUCCUACGGGAGGCAGCAGUAGGGAAUCUUCCACAAUGGGCGCAAGCCUGAUGGAGCAACGCCGCGUGAGUGAAGAAGGUCUUCGGAUCGUAAAACUCUGUUGUUAGAGAAGAACAUGCAGGAGAGUAACUAUUCUUGUAUUGACGGUAUCUAACCAGAAAGCCACGGCUAACUACGUGCC